AUUGAACGCUGGCGGCAGGCCUAACACAUGCAAGUCGAGCGAGCGGCGGACGGGUGUGUAAUGUAUGGGGACUGCCCGUUAGAGGGGGAUAACUCUUGGAAACGCUAUCUAUUAUCGCACAUUCUCUGAUUAUCCAGAUGGGAUUAGCUAGUGGGUGGGGUAAUGGCUCACCUAGGCGACGCGCCCUAGCUGUUCUGAGAGGAUGAUCAGCCACACUGGAACUGAGACACGGCCCAGACUCCGACGGAGGCAGCAGUGGGGAAUAUUGCACAAUGGGCGCAAGCCUGAUGCAGCCAUGCCGCGUGUAUGAAGAAGGCCCUAGGGUUGUAAAGUACUUUCAGUCGGGAGGCGUUACCGGCAGAAGAAGCACCGGCUAACUCCGUGCCAGCAGCCGCGGUAAUAC
rnacentral:rRNA from 1 species